rnacentral:rRNA from 1 species
AUUGAACGCUAGCUACAGGCUUAACACAUGCAAGUCGAGGGACGGGCGCGCGGGUGAGUAACACGUGUCCAACCUGCCCUUAACUGGGGGAUAGCCUGUCGAAAGGAAGAUUAAUACCCGAUAUGAGGGAUGGGGAUGCGUUCCAUUAGUUGGUUGGUGAGGGAACGGCUCACCAAGCGUGCGAUGGAUAGGGGUUCUGAGAGGAAGUUCCCCUACAGUGGAACUGCGACACGUUCCAAACUCCUACGGGAGGCAGCAGUGAGGAAUAUUGUUCAAUGGGCGCUAGCCUGAACCAGCCAAGUAGCGUGAAGGAUGAAGGCUGAUGGGUCGUAAUCUUCUUUUAUAUAAGAAUAUGUAUUAUAUGAAUAAGGAUCGGCUAACUCCGUGCCAGCAGCCGCGGUAAUUC